rnacentral:tRNA from 1 species
GCCUGGGUGGCUCAGUCGGUUGAGCGUCUGACUUCCGCUCAGGUCAUGAUCUCACGGUUCGUGAGUUUGAGCCCCACGUCAGGCU